UUACAAGACUUGACAAAAGUCCGAGGAAGGAUACAAGAAUCUGCCUCGUUAAAAAUCUUAUCAAGAAAAUCAAGUAAGAUAAAACUUUAUGACGCAAAAAGAGUGUAGUUAAUACAAGGCAAAGAUUAUUAAUGAAACCUGAAAGAAGUAUUUUUACGUGUUUUCAUAAAGCAGUUCCUAGUACAACGAGGUAAACUAUCCAUCCAAAUCAAACACUCAUAAAAAUAAAAAUAAAGGAAUACGCCCAUUCACAAUUAAUAACGACAAGGUCAGCUUGCAUGAGAAAUAAUAAAAGGGGACAACAACGAAGGACAAUGGUAAUGUAGUUCUUUUUUGUCUCUGGAUUAUCUUGGGUUUUGAGUGAUGUCUUUAUUCCUCGAAUAGUUUUAGUGUGCAAUAUGUCCCGAUAGUGUAGGAUUAAUUCUCACUUGCAUUAACAUUUUUUUCAUGCAUAAACUCUUUGUUAAAAUCCUUUUCAAAUGUCUUUUUGAAAGAAAAAAAAACUCGUUUUGCUAUAGUAUUGGGUCUUAUGAGCAUUUUCAAGUAUUUAAAAACAAUUUUUGAAAACAUGAAUCAAAUUCAAAACUGACAAGUGACUCUCUGAAUCAAUUCAUGUAAGUCGUAGAGCUUUUAUUUGUUUUUGAAUCAAUUUUAAUCGAUUUAAAAGUCGUAACUGACUUUCUCAAUCAAUUCACUUAAGUCAUAGAGUUUCUGGUCAAUUUUGAAUUCAUUCAAAACAAGAUAGAAGGAUAUAUAUAUAUAUAUAUAUAUAUAUGUGUGUGUGUGUGUGUGUGUGUGUGUGUGUGUGUGUGUGUGUGUGUGUGUGUGUGUGUGUAAUGCGCUUAACCUAAAAUCUAAUGCACCUGAGAACUAAAAGAAAGAAAUAACGUCGGCACUUUACGAGCAGUAGUGCAACCAUCGUGGAUCUUCUAUUGCUACUGAAAUUCCUUAUAAAUUUUGCAUCAUACAAGAACAUCAAAUCAGGUAUGGGGUGAGAGAGAAGAGUUCGAGUACAUGAGUGUAAAAUAAUUAUGAUGAACGGGAAAAACUUAUUUUCCAAAGUUCAUUCGGGCUCGCUGUGACGGUUGUGGGCCUUUGAGAGAAUAAUUAAUUGAUGUGCAAAUUUAGAUGUGUGAGGUUAAAAGAGAAUUAGAAACAUUAUUAAGGCGUUGCUUGAUUUAAAUUAUGUGAAUUAUUGGUAUUUGAAGUCAUGGAUAAACUUUGUGUGUGCUCAUGCUUGAUUUGCUGCAAUUAUUUAGAUUGAUUAAUUAUUCAAUGAUUGAUAUAAAUAUGAUGUAUGUAGAAUCAUAUGACUACUAGCUAGAAUGUUGACGCAUAGGUCAUAUUUAAAAUAAAUACUAAGAAAAAUAUAAAAACUCAUAUAAUAAGUCUUUACUACAUUAAUAUCGGUUAGAUGGUCAUAAGAGAGCAAGGCUUCUACUGCACGAUCAGUCAUGGUUGAAUCAAAUGUCAAGUAUGUAAUUAAUAACUCAUCAAAGUAGUAAUUAAGAAUGUUUCUAUUCAAAAUAAACUAACCACAAAAGAUUAUAGUAAACCACAAAACAUUUAUGAAAAAACAUUGUAAUUUCAACAAAUUACAGUAACACCAAAUAUCUACAAAACAUUAAAGCC
rnacentral:lncRNA from 1 species